CUGUUGAUAUGCUUCGGAUGUUUAUUAAUAAUAGUUGAGCAGUAUUCAUCAACAGAUCGAAACAUGUCGUCGCUGUUUUCCAUAUGCUUCAUUAUUUUCACAAGUUUCACCAAAAACGGUGUCUGUGGUGAACAUCAUGGAAGUGGCCCUCUCUGCUGGAGCCACCGUUUGUGAUGGAGAGUCCUCUCAGUCUCCGUACGAGGACCCAAGUACGAAGGGAUGUUGGUCGACAUCCUCGACGAGCUGGCGCGUCGUCUCAACUUCACUUACAACAUACACGAGGUCUACGACGGCAGAGUUUGGCUACGAGGUGGAGCCAGGAAAAUGGGACGGGCUUGUUUCGGAAGACUGAUCAAUAACCAAUCAGACCUUGCCUUGUCGCAUUUGACUAUCAACUCCAGAAAACGAGCAAAGGUCGUGAAGUUCACGCACCAGCCGUUCAUGUUAGCUGGUCUUCGCAUCCUGUACCGGCCACCCGACCGUUAUCAAUCAGGAACCUUGGUACAUCCUGCUUACUCCAUUCACUGGGGACUGUGGGUCGUGAUAUUUGUCAUGUGGCUUGUGAUUGGCUGUUUUAUCAUCGCGCCAUUGUCAAAUUUAGCCCGUUUGAAGAUAACUCCAGUACAACGAGUCAGUGAUGUUGACUGUAACGGGUGUUAUUAUUGGGAAGCUGUUGUACACUGUGUGUUUGUAUUCUCGUCCAGCG